GGGGGUGUAGCUCAGUGGUAGGACGCUUGCCUGUCAUGCAUGAGACCCUGGGUUCUGUCCCCAGCACCACAA
rnacentral:tRNA from 1 species